UGUCCAAAGUCUCCCAGACUGCUGACCUGUCUGUCCGCAGGGAUGAACAGCUCCCCUGGGCUGCAUGUGCACCACUAAAGAAGCACCGGGAAGGUGAGGGAAACCGUACCCCGCAAGUCUCAUCACGGGCACCCUCCCAGGAGCUCCACUCACAAAGAAGGGCAGAGCUGAGGGCAGAGACACCCCGACACGCCCCCUGAGUCCAGGUGUCCCAGCUGAAACACAGGUGCGUGCCAGCCCCGUGCAGUGUGAACAGUUUGAAGUGAUUGAAGACCUGGGGACGUGGCUCAGUGUCAGUGUGUGGAGAGCAAGCCUAAGCACACCCCAAUCCCUGAGCAGCUUCCCCAGCACCACACGGCCAGGCAGGCAUGGUGGGACCCCCUGGAAGCUACUGCAUGUAGGAGGUCGAGAGGGGGUCAGAAGUUCAAGGUCAUCCUCUGCUAGUGAGCUUGAGGUCAACCUGGGCUGUGUGAUACACUGUCUAAAAAAAAAAAAAAAAAAAAGUGUUUACCUUACAAGGUGUUGCCAACAGGCCUUCCCAGCAGGAGACUUAAGCAGCAGCCACACCUCGUCCCAGGUCCCAGUGACAAACCAAGGCACCGUUCCGCCCAAGUUCACUUUGGGGAAAUACUGGGUGUCACACUGGCAAGGGGUGGACUUGGAAUAGCUAUUCUUGGUUGUCAACUUGACUACUGAAAUUAACUGUCAAAACGAGGCACACGUGUGAGGGGGUUUGCUUAAUGUGGGGGAUGCCCUGUAGCCCAGGUCUUUGAGGAGGGACAACACACCUCUGACCUGGGCCACACCUUCUGCUGGAAGGAGGAAGCUUUGCCUGCCCACUCCCGCCUGGCCGGCAAGCUCUCUCCUUCACUGGCGAUGGAGCCUACCUCUUCAGGAUUCCAGCCCGUACUGAAGACCAGCCUCGUGGACUGAGCGACUGCUGGCUUCUUGGGCCUUCCAUUUGCAGGCAGUUGUUGGGUUAGUUGGACCAC